UUUGAUCGAGCCGAGCCAGGCGGGCCGAUCCGCAGAGCGGCCCUGGCCGUAGGUGUUCAGCAGAGCCUAGGCCUC
rnacentral:antisense_RNA from 1 species